AACGCUAGCUACAGGCUUAACACAUGCAAGUCGAGGGGCAGCAUUGGAGUAGCAAUACUUCAGAUGGCGACCGGCGCACGGGUGAGUAACACGUAUCCAACCUGCCGCUUACUCGGGGAUAGCCUUUCGAAAGAAAGAUUAAUACCCGAUGGUAUAAAGAGUUCGCAUGUUCUCUUUAUUAAAGAAUUUCGGUAAGCGAUGGGGAUGCGUUCCAUUAGAUAGUUGGCGGGGUAACGGCCCACCAAGUCUACGAUGGAUAGGGGUUCUGAGAGGAAGGUCCCCCACAUUGGAACUGAGACACGGUCCAAACUCCUACGGGAGGCAGCAGUGAGGAAUAUUGGUCAAUGGACGAGAGUCUGAACCAGCCAAGUAGCGUGAAGGAUGACUGCCCUAUGGGUUGUAAACUUCUUUUAUAAGGGAAUAAAGUGAGGGACGUGUCCCUUUUUGUAUGUACCUUAUGAAUAAGCAUCGGCUAACUCCGUGCCAGCAGCCGCGGUAAUACGGAGGAUGCGAGCGUUAUCCGGAUUUAUUGGGUUUAAAGGGAGCGUAGACGGGUCGUUAAGUCAGCUGUGAAAGUUUGAGGCUCAACCUUAAAAUUGCAGUUGAUACUGGCGUCCUUGAGUACGGUUGAGGCAGGCGGAAUUCGUGGUGUAGCGGUGAAAUGCUUAGAUAUCACGAAGAACUCCGAUU
rnacentral:rRNA from 1 species